GCCGAUGUGGUGGAAUUGGCAGACACGCUGCACUCAAAAUGCAGUGCCGUCAGGCUUGCCGGUUCGAGUCCGGCCAUCGGUA
rnacentral:tRNA from 1 species